rnacentral:rRNA from 1 species
AUUGAACGCUGGCGGCAUGCCUUACACAUGCAAGUCGAACGGCAGCACGGGGGCAACCCUGGUGGCGAGUGGCGAACGGGUGAGUAACAUAUCGGAACAUACCCUAGAGUGGGGGAUAACGUAGCGAAAGUUACGCUAAUACCGCAUACGAUCUAAAGGAUGAAAGUGGGGGAUCUUCGGACCUCAUGCUCAUGGAGUGGCCGAUAUCUGAUUAGCUAGUUGGUGAGGUAAAGGCUCACCAAGGCGACGAUCAGUAGCUGGUUUGAGAGAACGACCAGCCACACUGGAACUG